UACGAAGGGUGCUAGCGUUGUUCGGAAUCACUGGGCGUAAAGCGUGCGUAGGCUGCUUAUCAAGUCAGAGGUGAAAUCCUUGGGCUCAACCCAAGAACUGCCUUUGAAACUGUUAGGGCUGGAGUGUCGGAGGGGAUAGGGGAAUUUCUAAUGUAGUGGUGAAAUACGUAGAUAUUAGAAGGAACACCGGUGGCGAAGGCGCUAAUCUGGACGACAACUGA
rnacentral:rRNA from 1 species